AUUGAACGCUGGCGGCAUGCCUUACACAUGCAAGUCGAACGGUAACAGGUUAAGCUGACGAGUUGCGAACGGGUGAGUAAUGUAUCGGAACGUGCCCAGUCGUGGGGGAUAACUUCUCGAAAGAGCAGCUAAUACCGCAUACGACCUGAGGGUGAAAGCGGGGGAUCGCAAGACCUCGCGCGAUUGGAGCUGCCGAUAUCAGAUUAGGUAGUUGGUGAGGUAAAGGCUCACCAAGCCGACGAUCUGUAGCUGGUCUGAGAGGACGACCAGCCACACUGGGACUGAGACACGGCCCAGACUCCUACGGGAGGCAGCAGUGGGGAAUUUUGGACAAUGGGCGCAAGCCUGAUCCAGCCAUGCCGCGUGCGGGAAGAAGGCCUUCGGGUUGUAAACCGCUUUUGUCAGGGAAGAAAAGGUUCUGGCUAAUACCUGGGACUCAUGACGGUACCUGAAGAAUAAGCACCGGCUAACUACGUG
rnacentral:rRNA from 1 species